rnacentral:ncRNA from 1 species
AUAAAAGCGAUGAAGAGAAGAGUAAAUACAUUAAUUCUUUACAGAGAGCUCCGGAAGCUGGAAAGGAGCAUGAGUGAAUGUAUUGAACCAAGCCUCUCAGCUUCACAUCGGAAUCCUUACAAGGAAGAUGGUGUGACAGGUACUCCUGUUAUCGAGAAGGGUAAUCUUAGUUACCUGCUAAGGUUUGUAUGGUGACAUAUAAACAAACUGAGGUGGCACCACGGGAAAAAUCUCGUCCUCAAG